AAAAAGGAUCUAUAAUAUUAAAAUUAAUCCUAACUUGCUGGUACUUGAACGAACUCUUUAUAAAAUGACUGUUUAGCAAAUAAUUGGUUUUGUUACACAUCAAAAAGAAAGAAGAAACUAAGACUAGUUACAUAGACAAAUUUUUAUAUGGAUAAUUGCAACAGACCCUGUAGAAUAUGUGUCCCAAAAUCGCGUAAAAUACGAUAGGUGCAU